rnacentral:lncRNA from 1 species
GAAACUUUUGGCAUACCAUCUGUAGGGUGUCAGGAAUGGUUCAGGGCCCAGACUUAGAAAUAUGGACCAAGAUUUAUGAGGUUAAUGAUGUUCAGGGGAAACAGGCUGGUUUUUAAACAGAGAGCUCCUAACAAGCCUUGCAAGUACAUUCUCCAAUAGAAGGACUCAUGGUACACUGCCUGGGUUUAUCCACAUGCCACUUUCUUCUUUCCUUUACCUCAUGAGUAUGGUUGCAUCCUUAAUGUAUCUCUUUUGUCGUUUGCCCAGGUUCUCUGAGAUCUGACAGGAAUUACAUGGGAGAACUGGGAGCUGUAUUGUCAAGGCAAUGCAAUGUCCCUUCAGAUGAUUUUGACAGAAAUGAGCAAAAGGCAGUCUACAGGUACAGUCACACCUCAUGAAAGGAGACCCAUCUCCAGUGCAAAGGUUGGGAUGAAUAUCUGGAAAAAAGGCGCCCUCAGCUCCAAAGCCGCAGCUGCCAGACUAUCGUACCUGUCUAGGUAUAAAUUCCUGUAAGCAAAUGGCUAGUAUUUUUGACCAACAUGGACUUCUACUCAUUCAGUCAAGUGUAUUUAGUCUGGGAGGUUUCAAGCGAGCUCUCAGUUCUGUGAGGCAGGACAGCCAAAGUCCUUCUUCCUUCACUGAGGCAGAUGCAUAGCAAAAGACCCUCAUCAAUCUAAUUUGCAAAGCGUUGUCUGUUUUGGGGGCAUUUCCUAAACAGAGACAUUGUUUUGUUUUAGUUUUAUGAGACAAAAAUGGUGUUUUCUGUUAUUUCAUUCUGCAUUUCUCCCCUUUAUUUUAAGCACUCAUUUUUUGCUUUUUAGAUCAUUAAA